rnacentral:rRNA from 1 species
ACGUACCCAUCCCGAACACGACCGUUAAGCCCUCCAGCGCCGAUGGUACUUGGACCGCAGGGUCCUGGGAGAGUAGGACGCCGCCAAGC